rnacentral:rRNA from 1 species
CGAGCUUAACCGAAUAGGGGAGCGCAGCGAAAGCGAGUCUGAACAGGGCGUUCAGUAGCUGGGCGUAGACCCGAACCGGAUGAUCUAUCCAUGGCCAGGAUGAAGGUGCGGUAACACGCACUGGAGGUCCGAACCCACUAGUGUUAGCAAAAACUAGGGGGAUGAGCUGUGGAUAGGGGUGAAAAGGCUAAACAAAUCCGGAGAUAGCUGGUUCUCCUCGAAAACUAUUUAGGUAGUGCCUCGUGUAUCACUCUCGGGGGUAGAGCACUGUAAUCUUGGGGGGGUCGUCUAGACCUACCCCGCGAUAGCAAAACUCCGAAUACCGAGAAGUGCAAGCACGGGAGACAGACAUCGGGUGCUAACGUCCGGUGUCAAGAGGGAAACAACCCAGACCGCCAGCUAAGGUCCCUAAUAUGUGCUAAGUGGUAAACGAAGUGGGAAGGCAUAGACAGCUAGGAAGUUGGCUUAGAAGCAGCCAUCCUUUAAAGAAAGCGUAAUAGCUCACUAGUCGAGUCGUCCUGCGCGGAAGAUGUAACGGGG